rnacentral:snRNA from 2 species
GCCUAAAUUGUCAUUCGAUAAAAUUGGAACGAUACAAAGAAGAUUAGCAUGGCCCAUUACGACUUGAUGACACGCAUAAAUUGAGAAAUGGUCCAGCAAUUGACAUUUUUUU